CAAAUCAUAGCAAGUUUCCGUACAAUCAAGGCCGAACAUUCAUGGUGGUAUGCUGAGAAGCGACGCGACCAGCUGUAGGAAGCUUUUCUUUGUGUUUAGUUUUUAUUAUCGACCAUUUAUCAAGUUAUUAUAGAAAAAAAGUUAGUUUUGGAAAAAUAAUGCACCUUCAUUCAAAAUAAGUGACAGCAUUGGACACGAGAUUGGCCACCUGAAAUUUGUAGACUGCUGAACAUUAUUUCUCUUUUCUUUAUAAACCAAAAUGACGGGAAUCAAUGAAACCAUGGACAGGAGUAUAAGAAUGGAAAUGGAGAAUCAAAAAGACAAAUCAAGGGCAGAAUCUCUACAUGGUUCUGUUUCUCAAUAUGAACCAAAUACAACCAAUCGUAGGUGUCAGCAUGUAAAAAUCCCUGGAGCCUUUUGCUGUGCAAACGAACAUUCGCCACUAAGUCUUUGCGAUGUAAUGGUAGUCGCGUUGUUGAUAUUUGUGAUGUGGACCGUUAUUGUUUUUAUGACUCCAUGAUGAAUAACAAGUAUAUGCAAGAACUUUUUUACUUAUUAGGACGUACGCAUUUUAUCAAUGAAAAAAUUAUUAAUUCUUAUCUCUGUAAGAUGACAUGGCCAACAACCAUAAGAAAUAAAAUCUGUAUGAAAAA